UACGUAGGGUGCGAGCGUUGUCCGGAAUUAUUGGGCGUAAAGGGCUCGUAGGCGGUUUGUCGCGUCGGGAGUGAAAUCAUCUGGCUUAACUGGGUGCUUGCUUUCGAUACGGGCAGACUAGAGGUAUGCAGGGGGAGAACGGAAUUCCUGGUGUAGCGGUGAAAUGCGCAGAUAUCAGGAGGAACACCGGUGGCGAAGGCGGUUCUCUGGGCAUGAUCUGACGCUGAGGAGCGAAAGUGUGGGGAGGCGAACAGG
rnacentral:rRNA from 1 species